rnacentral:rRNA from 1 species
UAAAACGUAGGACGCGAGCGUUAUCCGGAUUUACUGGGCGUAAAGCGCGUGCAGGCGGUCUGUUAAGUCGUGCGUGAAAGCUCCCUGGCUCAACCGGGAGAGGUCGUACGAGACUGGCAGGCUUGAGGGCAGCAGAGGAGUGUGGAAUUCCGGGUGUAGUGGUGAAAUGCGUAGAUAUCCGGAGGAACACCAGUGGCGAAGGCGACACUCUGGGCUGUACCUGACGCUAAGACGCGAAAGCAUGGGUAGCGAACGGG